GACGUAGGAAGCAAGCGUUGUCCGGAAUGACUGGGCGUAAAGGGUGCGUAGGCGGUCUUUUAAGUCUGAUGUGAAAUCCUGUGGCUUAACCAUAGAACUGCAUCAGAUACUGGGGGACUGGAGUGCGGAAGAGGUUGACGGAAUUACUAGUGUAGCGGUAGAAUGCGUAGAUAUUAGUAAGAAGACCGGAGGCGAAGGCGGUCAACUGGGACGUAACUGACGCUGAGGCACGAAAGCGUGGGGAGCAAACAGG
rnacentral:rRNA from 1 species